UUUAUGGAGAGUUUGAUCCUGGCUCAGGAUGAACGCUGGCGGCGUGCCUAAUACAUGCAAGUCGAGCGAACGGACGAGAAGCUUGCUUCUCUGAUGUUAGCGGCGGACGGGUGAGUAACACGUGGAUAACCUACCUAUAAGACUGGGAUAACUUCGGGAAACCGGAGCUAAUACCGGAUAAUAUUUUGAACCGCAUGGUUCAAAAGUGAAAGACGGUCUUGCUGUCACUUAUAGAUGGAUCCGCGCUGCAUUAGCUAGUUGGUAAGGUAACGGCUUACCAAGGCAACGAUGCAUAGCCGACCUGAGAGGGUGAUCGGCCACACUGGAACUGAGACACGGUCCAGACUCCUACGGGAGGCAGCAGUAGGGAAUCUUCCGCAAUGGGCGAAAGCCUGACGGAGCAACGCCGCGUGAGUGAUGAAGGUCUUCGGAUCGUAAAACUCUGUUAUUAGGGAAGAACAUAUGUGUAAGUAACUGUGCACAUCUUGACGGUACCUAAUCAGAAAGCCACGGCUAACUACGUGCCAGCAGCCGCGGUAAUACGUAGGUGGCAAGCGUUAUCCGGAAUUAUUGGGCGUAAAGCGCGCGUAGGCGGUUUUUUAAGUCUGAUGUGAAAGCCCACGGCUCAACCGUGGAGGGUCAUUGGAAACUGGAAAACUUGAGUGCAGAAGAGGAAAGUGGAAUUCCAUGUGUAGCGGUGAAAUGCGCAGAGAUAUGGAGGAACACCAGUGGCGAAGGCGACUUUCUGGUCUGUAACUGACGCUGAUGUGCGAAAGCGUGGGGAUCAAACAGGAUUAGAUACCCUGGUAGUCCACGCCGUAAACGAUGAGUGCUAAGUGUUAGGGGGUUUCCGCCCCUUAGUGCUGCAGCUAACGCAUUAAGCACUCCGCCUGGGGAGUACGACCGCAAGGUUGAAACUCAAAGGAAUUGACGGGGACCCGCACAAGCGGUGGAGCAUGUGGUUUAAUUCGAAGCAACGCGAAGAACCUUACCAAAUCUUGACAUCCUUUGACAACUCUAGAGAUAGAGCCUUCCCCUUCGGGGGACAAAGUGACAGGUGGUGCAUGGUUGUCGUCAGCUCGUGUCGUGAGAUGUUGGGUUAAGUCCCGCAACGAGCGCAACCCUUAAGCUUAGUUGCCAUCAUUAAGUUGGGCACUCUAAGUUGACUGCCGGUGACAAACCGGAGGAAGGUGGGGAUGACGUCAAAUCAUCAUGCCCCUUAUGAUUUGGGCUACACACGUGCUACAAUGGACAAUACAAAGGGC
rnacentral:rRNA from 1 species